rnacentral:rRNA from 1 species
UACAGGGGGGGCAAGCGUUGUUCGGAAUUACUGGGCGUAAAGGGCUCGUAGGCGGCCAACUAAGUCACACGUGAAAUCCCCAGGCUUAACCUGGGAACUGCGUGUGAUACUGGAUGGCUUGAAUCCGGGAGAGGGAUGCAGAAUUCCAGGUGUAGCGGUGAAAUGCGUAGAUAUCUGGAGGAAUACCGGUGGCGAAGGCGGGUCUCUGGGCCGAAACUGACGCUGAGGAGCGAAAGCGUGGGGAGCGAACAGG